rnacentral:rRNA from 1 species
ACGUACGCUGGCGGCACGCCUAACACAUGCAAGUCGAACGAAGUAGCAAUACUUAGUGGCAGACGGGUGAGUAACAUGUAGGUAUCUGCCCUUUGGCCUGGAAUAACACGAGGAAACUUGUGCUAAUACCGGAUAAGUCUUUACGGAGAAAGCUUUAUGCACCAUUGGAUGAGCCUGCACUUGAUUAGUUUGUUGGUGGGGUAAUGGCCUACCAAGACUGUGAUCAAUAGCUGAUUUGAGAGGAUGAUCAGCCACAUUGGGACUGAGACACGGCCCAAACUCCUACGGGAGGCAGCAGUGGGGAAUCUUGCACAAUGGAGGAAACUCUGAUGCAGCGAUGCCGCGUGAGUGAAGAAGGCCCUUGGGUUGUAAAGCUCUUUCGUCGGGGAAGAAAAUGACUGUACCCGAAUAAGAAGGUCCGGCUAACUUCGUGCCAGCAGCCGCGGUAAUACGAAGGGACCUAGCGUAGUUCGGAAUUACUGGGCUUAAAGAGUUCGUAGGUGGUUGAAAUAGUUGGUGGUGAAAUCCCAGAGCUUAACUCUGGAACUGCCAUCAAAACUUUUCAGCUAGAGUAUGAUAGAGGAAAGCAGAAUUUCUAGUGUAGAGGUGAAAUUCGUAGAUAUUAGAAAGAAUACCAAUUGCGAAGGCAGCUUUCUGGAUCAUUACUGACACUGAGGAACGAAAGCAUGGGUAGCGAAGAGGAUUAGAUACCCUCGUAGUCCAUGCCGUAAACGAUGUGUGUUAGACGUUGGAAAUUUAUUUUCAGUGUCGCAGGGAAACCGAUAAACACACCGCCUGGGGAGUACGACCGCAAGGUUAAAACUCAAAUGAAUUGACGGGGACCCGCACAAGUAGUGGAGCAUGUGGUUUAAUUCGAAGAUACGCGCAGAACCUUACCAACACUUGACAUGUUCGUCGCGACUCUAAGAGAUUAGAGUUUUCGGUUCGGCCGGACGAAACACAGGUGCUGCAUGGCUGUCGUCAGCUCGUGUCGUGAGAUGUUGGGUUAAGUCCCGCAACGAGCGCAACCCUCACUUUUAGUUGCCAUCAUUAAGUUGGGCACUCUGAAAGAACUGCCAGUGAUAAGCUGGAGGAAGGUGGGGAUGACGUCAAGUCCUCAUGGCCCUUACGUGUUGGGCUACACACGUGCUACAAUGGUAUCUACAACAGGAAGCAAGACUGCGAAGUUAAGCAAAUCCCUAAAAGAUACCUCAGUUCGGAUUGCACUCUGCAACUCGAGUGCAUGAAGCUGGAAUUACUAGUAAUCGUGGAUCAGCGUGCCACGGUGAAUGCGUUCCCGGGUCUUGUACACACCGCCCGUCAA